rnacentral:rRNA from 1 species
CCUACGGGAUGCAGCAGUGGGGGAUAUUGCACAAUGGGGGGAACCCUGAUGCAGCGACGCCGCGUGGGUGAAGAAGCGCCUCGGCGCGUAAAGCCCUGUCAGCAGGGAAGAAAAUGACGGUACCUGACGAAGAAGCCCCGGCUAACUACGUGCCAGCAGCCGCGGUAAUACGUAGGGGGCAAGCGUUAUCCGGAUUUACUGGGUGUAAAGGGGGCGCAGACGGCGAUGCAAGCCAGGAGUGAAAGCCCGGGGCCCAACCCCGGGACUGCUCUUGGAACUGCGUGGCUGGAGUGCAGGAGGGGCAGGCGGAAUUCCUGGUGUAGCGGUGAAAUGCGUAGAUAUCAGGAGGAACACCAGUGGCGAAGGCGGCCUGCUGGACUGCAACUGACGUUGAGGCCCGAAAGCGUGGGGAGCAAACAGGAUUAGAUACCCCAGUAGUC